CCGGAAGUUACUGUUGUGGCGGCGCCGCCUCUUCCGGCCACCAUGGCUCGAGAUUCUUGGGGGGUUUUGCUUGUCUCAGUCCCAGCAACAUUCCCACAAAAGGAAUCGAGCCAAAUCGAAGUGUGACUGACGAAACGAGUGAGGAAAUUACUUUCAGGGUCGUGGAAGUUGCACGCAGGAAAGAAGUGGAUAACUCUGCAGGUGUGGAUUAGUGGGAAUUGACGUACCG